GGAAUAACCAAGCCUGAAUAUUUGAUGUUGUGUAAGUGGACCUGCAAGGUUUUUCUCAGUGGUUACAUACUUUUGCUGCAUUCUCUGCUUUUCAGUGCAGAAAGAUUAUUUUUGCAAGAUUUUGCUCUUUGUAGUGAGCUCUAUAUCUCUAGAAACCAGCCAAGAAUUGUUUAUCUGAAAUUCCCCAUUAUGAAGAUAAUGUGCAGUUUUAAAGUGCACUGUAUUUAGAGACAUUUGGACCAGUGAUUAUCUACACAUUAAAGGCAUAAAAGAAGAAAAUGAAGAGAUAAACACUGCAGGAGUUUUCUAGAUUUGAUCAUGCUUGUUUUUGCUUCUUAAUACCUUUUGGGAUGUCCACAUCUUUCCUGAACUACCAUGCUCAAAACUGUGCAGCACUCCAGAACAGAUUUUACCCAUGCACAGAUAAGCAGGAGAUUGAUGAAUUUUGUGAAUCUCAAAGAUGCUAGUCCCCAUUUAUACAUUCCAGUUUCAGACUUCAUACUUUUCAUGCUGUUCAUCUGAUCCAUCCUGGAGAGCAGAGUUCAUGGCUGGGAAGAGCAUCCUUAAAGGAAAUAGGAUGUCUGGAGGAGUGUUUUCAAGAAGAAAAUUUACAGUUUUGAAAGUUCAAGUCAAAAUACAGCUGAGUCACCAUAUUUUUACUUGAUUGUCACAUGUAAGUUCAUCUGAGAAAUAAAAUAAUAAAAUAUAUAAUAUAUUAUAUCUAUUAUAUAAUAUAUAAUAAAUAAUAAAAUUAUUUAAAACAAA